UUGCUUUGUGUCUUAUAGAGUAAACAAAACUCACAAUGUGUCUUUUUAUGUAAGUCUCUCGUAAACCAACACCAACCCAUAAGUGCUCUUAGCCUUUGACUUCAUUUUCAUAUUUUACUCCUUUCCUUUUCUAUCAGCUUAUUGGAUUUCAUGAAUCACCCCUCCUCGUCCAUUAUCAUUACCUCGUAUUAUUAACUCUCACUCACUCACACACACACAUAGUAUUAUAGUAUGUGCGCAUGCAUAUAUUAUAUACAAUAUGAUUGGAUGGAUAGGGACGGCCAAGUUAGAGAU
rnacentral:lncRNA from 1 species